GAAUUGCUGAAGAGUCCCACGAUAGGGCGAAACGACCGUCCAGUGC
rnacentral:hammerhead_ribozyme from 1 species